rnacentral:rRNA from 1 species
GCGCGCGUAGGCGGUUUUUUAGUCUGAUGUGAAAGCCCACGGCUCAACCGUGGAGGGUCAUUGGAAACUGGAAAACUUGAGUGCAGAAGAGGAAAGUGGAAUUCCAUGUGUAGCGGUGAAAUGCGCAGAGAUAUGGAGGAACACCAGUGGCGAAGGCGACUUUCUGGUCUGUAACUGACGCUGAUGUGCGAAAGCGUGGGGAUCAAACAGGAUUAGAUACCCUGGUAGUCCACGCCGUAAACGAUGAGUGCUAAGUGUUAGGGGGUUUCCGCCCCUUAGUGCUGCAGCUAACGCAUUAAGCACUCCGCCUGGGGAGUACGACCGCAAGGUUGAAACUCAAAGGAAUUGACGGGGACCCGCACAAGCGGUGGAGCAUGUGGUUUAAUUCAAAGCAACGCGAACAACCUUACCAAAUCUUGACAUCCUUUGACAACUCUAGAGAUAGAGCCUUCCCCUUCGGGGGACAAAGUGACAGGGGGUGCAUGGUUGUCGUCAGCUCGUGUCGUGAGAUGUUGGGUUAAGUCCCGCAACGAGCGCAACCCUUAAGCUUAGUUGCCAUCAUUAAGUUGGGCACUCUAAGUUGACUGCCGGUGACAAACCGGAGGAAGGUGGGGAUGACGUCAAAUCAUCAUGCCCCUUAUGAUUUGGGCUACACACGUGCUACAAUGGACAAUACAAAGGGCAGCGAAACCGCGAGGUCAAGCAAAUCCCAUAAAGUUGUUCUCAGUUCGGAUUGUAGUCUGCAACUCGACUACAUGAAGCUGGAAUCGCUAGUAAUCGUAGAUCAGCAUGCUACGGUGAAUACGUUCCCGGGUCUUGUACACACCGCCCGUCACACCACGAGAGUUUGUAACACCCGAAGCCGGUGGAGUAACCUUUUAGGAGCUAGCCG